rfam:Sus scrofa chromosome 7.
ACAAAGGCCCUUUUCAGGGCCCCCCAUCUUUUCAUCUGAGGAGCUG